UACAGCGAGGACGCUGUGAACGGUCGGAUUAUUCCUCCGACUGUUCCGCUCCCGUGAGAAGCAUUCACGGAGAGUUUGAUCCUGGCUCAGGACGAACGCUGGCGGCGUGCUUAACACAUGCAAGUCGAACGAUGAAGCC
rnacentral:rRNA from 1 species